rnacentral:rRNA from 1 species
AUUGAACGCUGGCGGCAUGCCUUACACAUGCAAGUCGAACGGUAACGGGCCUUCGGGUGCCGACGAGUGGCGAACGGGUGAGUAAUGCAUCGGAACGUACCUUUCAGUGGGGGAUAACGCAGCGAAAGUUACGCUAAUACCGCAUAUUCUGUGAGCAGGAAAGCAGGGGAUCGCAAGACCUUGCGCUGAUUGAGCGGCCGAUGUCAGAUUAGCUAGUUGGUGAGGUAAAGGCUCACCAAGGCGACGAUCUGUAGCGGGUCUGAGAGGAUGACCCGCCACACUGGAACUGAGACACGGUCCAGACUCCUACGGGAGGCAGCAGUGGGGAAUUUUGGACAAUGGGGGCAACCCUGAUCCAGCCAUGCCGCGUGAGUGAAGAAGGCCUUCGGGUUGUAAAGCUCUUUCGGCCGGGAAGAAAUCGUAUGGGUUAAUACCCUGUGCGGAUGACGGUACCGGCAUAAGAAGCACCGGCUAACUACGUGCCAGCCGCCGCGGUAAUAC